CCAGUGCUCUGAUUGUCAUUGCCAAGAGAUUGAGCCAAGCGCGGGUAAACGGCGGGAGUAACUAUGACUCUCUUAAGGUAGCCAAAUGCCUCGUCAACCAAUUAUUGACGCGCAUGAAUGGAUCAACGAGAUUCCUGCUGUCCCUAGUUGCUGUCUGGCGAACCAACAGCCAAGGGAACGGGCUUGGGUGCGCCAGCGGGGAAAGAAGACCCUGUUGAGUUUGACUCUAGUUUGAUGCUGUGCAACGACAUGGGGGGUGUAGCACAGGUGGGAGGCCAGUGCCACCACCUUGCUGCCGGUACCCCUCUUUCCUCCCAGAGAGGAGAGGGAGCCAAAGGCCGAAGGAGUGUGGUCCCCCCCUCCGGGGAAGGGCCUCCCCUGUCUGGAGAGAGAUGAAGGCCGGCACAGAGAUGCCAUGAGAGUGUGUGGUGCAAACCAGCAGUGAAAUACCACUACCUUCACCGUCGUUUUACUCAACGGGUGGCUUGGGAACGGCGGCCAUUGGACAUCGGUUCCUGCUUCCUUGCUGGGACCGUGGCCACAUACCGGUUCGUGUGCCAAGCAUGGCCAGCCCCCACCCUCGGGUGGGUAGGAGGCUGUGUGACCCUUGGGGUCUGAACGCCCCACUGCACUCCCAGAGCCCCGUGACACUGAUCAGUUGGGGAGUUUGGCUGGGGCGGCACGCCCGUUACACCACAACGCGGGCGUCCUGAAGCAUUGCUCAGAUGGAAGGGAAAUCUUGCAUGGAGGAGCAGGCCAAAGGUGCUGCUGAUGCUGUGGCUUCCAGUACAAGCCCAAAACGUGCAAGUGUGGCCUUACGAUCCUUUGGUGAACCCUCCGGGUUCGGGAUAUUGAAGCCAGAGGUGUCAGAAAAAUUACCACAGGGAUAACUGGCUUGUGGCUGCCAAGCGUUCAAAGCGACGUCGCUUUUUGAUCCUUCGAUGUCGGCUCUUCCUAGCUUCCCACCCGCAGCC
rnacentral:rRNA from 1 species